rnacentral:rRNA from 1 species
GACGAACGCUGGCGGCGUGCCUAAUACAUGCAAGUCGAACGAAGCUGUUUUAACUGGUGCUUGCACCGACUUAAACAACUGAGUGGCGAACGGGUGAGUAACACGUGGGUAACCUGCCCAGAAGCGGGGGAUAACACCUGGAAACAGAUGCUAAUACCGCAUAACAAUUUGGACCGCAUGGUCCGAGCUUGAAAGAUGGCUUCGGCUAUCACUUUUGGAUGGUCCCGCGGCGUAUUAGCUAGAUGGUGGGGUAAUGGCUCACCAUGGCAAUGAUACGUAGCCGACCUGAGAGGGUAAUCGGCCACAUUGGGACUGGGACACGGCCCAAACUCCUACGGGAGGCAGCAGUAGGGAAUCUUCCACAAUGGACGAAAGUCUGAUGGAGCAACGCCGCGUGAGUGAAGAAGGGUUUCGGCUCGUAAAACUCUGUUGUUAAAGAAGAACAUAUCUGAGAGUAACUGUUCAGGUAUUGACGGUAUUUAACCAGAAAGCCACGGCUAACUACGUGCCAGCCGCCGCUGUAA